UUGUCUUACAUUUUCACAGAAUAGAAUAUUUAAGGGUUAGAUUAGAAAAUUUCCAUGACAGAUUUUGUCAUUGGUACAACAGAUGAGAAGGGUAAAUUGUGUCAGUGUGUAGCAUUUUUACAAUUACAAAAUCUAGUCACUGGAGUUUCAUUAUCUUUUUGUAACUUUUCAUUGCGUGAUAAAUAUUAGCACUGCUUUUCUAUCUUAAUACCAUUCUUUUAUGUUACCCCAACUGAUUUUAUUUUUUUUUUUUGCACUUUUUUUUUAUUUUUUUUUAUUUAUUUAUGAUAGUCACAGAGAGAGAGAGAGAGAGAGAGGCAGAGACACAGGCAGAGGGAGAAGCAGGCUCCAUGCACUGGGAGCCUGAUGUGGGAUUCGAUCCCGGGUCUCCAGGAUCGCGCCCUGGGCCAAAGGCAGGCGCCAAACCACUGCGCCACCCAGGGAUCCCUGAUUUUAUUUUCUGAUUAAUUGAUUUUUCUAAACCAUAAUCUUAGUUAUAACCUGAGAACUACACAAAACACUGGUACUUCAAGAGUAUAACAUUGGGGCAAUUGUUAUGAAUAUUUAUGUAUCUAACAUGACUCAAUUGUUUUUUGAUCUAUCCAAUGGCUUUCCAUUUUUUUUGUAUGCAUUGUUUGUUUUAAGCAAAUUCCCUCCUACUUUUCCACUUUCUCUUGUUUUACUUAUUCUGUUGGUUUUACUGCUUAUAUGGCUUAACACACAUUUUUAUUUCCUAUUUUUCUCUCCCAGAGCCCACUUGCACGGUAAACCAAGAUCUUCUCCACCAUUUCAAUGACCGUGAUCUAAACUACAUUAUCUAUACCAUUAACUUUGAACUUCCAUAGUAUCUAUUCAAAUCUUUUUGAUGGGCAUUAUUUCAUUGAUAGCUGCAUUCUGGGGGCAUAACAGAACUGAUGGUGAAUAAUCCCUUGGUCUGUCAACCACAAACAUUUGUUGAGAAUCAAACCCAAAGAUCUUUGACUUGGUGUUUAUGACCCAAGGUAAACUCAAGCAUAGUUAGCAGUGGAUCUUUAAACUUCUAGUACUUAAAACAAACUGUGUGUGUGAGUGUGUGUGUGUGUGUGUGUGUGUGUCUGUGUAAGACAGGAUGUCUGUCCUUUAAUCUUAUUUUCAAGUUUCAGGACCCCAAAAUGGUUAAGAACCACUAAGGAUGCAUGUGUCAUGUACAAGAAUAUUUUUCUAUGCAAAAAUGUUGUAUUUAUCACAAAAGCAAAAAGCAUGGGAUGAUCCAUACUUCUCAAAUCAUCAAGAGAAAUCAAAGUCCAACGCUUCCACUUCAAAACUUUGGGAUUGUAUUUUGUGACAACUUGCAAAAACCAUUUAGAAAUACAUAAAUAAUUGUAUAAAUACAAGGUAUUGAUAGCCCAGAAAGCAAAAUUGUUUUCCCAAUGGCAAUACAAAGUCAAUAUUACUUUAGCAUGUGGAUAGCUGUUUCCAAGAAUUUAGUAAGUAUAUACUAAUUGUAUUCUUAUAAGACACUUUGCUAUUGGAAAGAACCAAUGUUUUUACUGUAGUAAAUAUUUGAUUUUUAGACAAUGUUUCUGUGAGGUAAGAAAAAAAAGCUUAAGUAGUAAAUAAAAACCCCACAAUAUUAAUAUAAAUAACUAAAUAUCUUUAUUCAAUUUUCAGUUAAUUACAUGAUAUUUUGCUUUUCAGUGAAUUAAGUCAAAACAAAGGUCUUUCUAAUGAGUAAGUUAUUUUAUCUCUAUUAAAAUAUCAGGAUUAAUUAUGCUUUAUUUUCAUCCUAUAGAAAAUGUAGUUGAUGACAAAGACAUAUGAAUAAUGAACCAGUGCAAUUUGCAGUUUGUUCCUAAUUGAAUCUACUUACACAAUCAACUUUCACUUCUUUCUCCAUUCAUUUAAUACAGUUAUUACUUAUUUGACAAACAUGAUUUGUAAAAUAGGUUUAAUAAUAAUACAUAUAGUGUUGAAUUUUGUGAGGAUCAAAUAGCAAAUAGUCAAUACUCAAUUACGGUUAAUAUUUUAUUACCUCAAUAACUACAUAAUGCAAUUUUAUUUUAUUGGAUCUUGCAAGUUGUUUUUAUUAUUUAAACCACUGGUUUAGCAAUUAUACAUUUGAAUUAAAAUAGUCAAAGCAUUUACAUCUGAGUUUAGAUGUUGACUUUGUUCUACAAAUAUCAGAAACAAAAGAUACGGUGGGAUAUUUGGACCAGAAAAUGUGUGGUAGUACUAUAGGCAAGAAAGUAUUUGACACUUGUCUUGAGAUGACAGGCUACACAGUACUACACUAACUGUAGAAAGUCUUCCACAUUUUCUUUGAUACGUACCAUCUGGGGCAUAUCAAGCUCAUUGACAUGAGAAUGUAUUCUUUCCAAAACACAUCGUUUAAUGUCUUUGUAUAGUUUUUAUAAAUUGCAGAUUUAAAAGUUCCUACAUGGACUGUUACUAUAUCCCACCAUGGUGUUUUCCAUGUGUCUCAGUCAAAUAUACAAAAAUACUGAAUAACAUUGGACAUACCUCACAGUCUUACUACUCUGUUUGAUGAUGGGGAAUAAUUUCUGACAAUGAGUAAUCAAUUCUUACUUCACAAGUUCCAUUAUCACAGAAUAAGCUUAGGAUCUUAAUGAACUACUGGGGCUGAAAAUUGUAUUUAAAGCUGCCAAAUCCAAACCCCCUGACUGUGUUAAUCCAUUAUUUUAGGGUGAAUGAAAAGUGUAUAUCAAUUUAUCUAUAUAUAGUAUGAGGUAUGAGUGUUCACAUAAGCAAGGUCAGGCUAAAAAAGAGAGAGAGGGAGAGAAAUUCAAGGAAAUAGGAGACUGUGUUUUCCUUAACUGUGUUUUUCUUUAAUAGAAAUCUGGCAUAGAAAUUUCCUUAGAGUGAAAUUUGUAUAGAGACAAGCACAUGCAAUGUUCCUAAGGUAUUAAGACAGAGUCAGAAAAAAGAAGGUAUUAGGGGAAUGAUUUGGUGGAUGAUAACCGUAAAUUAGAAAUUAAACUAUAUGUAUAUAAAUUUCUUCUGAUUCUAAUCUAAAUCAUGUAAUUUUACUGUUCACUAGGACUGCUCCCCAGACAUGUGCCCUCUGUUUCUUACUUUUCUCACUCUCUGGGAUGGGAACAGCAACGACAAAUUAUGUCUAAAUGUUCAUGUUAGACAUUUCUUCUGAGCUCAUAAAAGUUUAUCUUGGCAUAUAAUUGUCUCUUUGUAAUAAGACAAUAAAGAUUGCAGUGUUUUGAGGCUGCUAAACAAUGCCCAUCCAGUUGACAGGCUCAGGAAUGAUGGUGAAAUGAUGGACUCGGCUGCUAUAGGUCACACUUUGUAAAUCUGACUGAAGCAGACCUAGAAUACUAAUGAAAGCCAACCACCAUUUCCUUACUUGCUCUCAAUUUGUAAUUCUAGCCCUGGUGGCAUAUAUAUUACAGAAAGAAUAUUGUUUUCUAAUUUAUAGUCAGAAAGUCAUUGGAGCGACUAUGACCCUGUGCUUUAAAUAGACGGUAAGUGUAUUGUCUUAAAAAAAAAAAAAAAA
rnacentral:lncRNA from 1 species